GACGAACGCUGGCGGCGUGCCUAAUACAUGCAAGUAGAACGCACAGUUUAUACCGUAGCUUGCUACACCAUAGACUGUGAGUUGCGAACGGGUGAGUAACGCGUAGGUAACCUGCCUGGUAGCGGGGGAUAACUAUUGGAAACGAUAGCUAAUACCGCAUAAUAUUAAUUAUUGCAUGAUAAUUAAUUGAAAGGUGCAAUUGCACCACUACCAGAUGGACCUGCGUUGUAUUAGCUAGUAGGUGAGGUAACGGCUCACCUAGGCGACGAUACAUAGCCGAACUGAGAGGGUGAUCGGCCACACUGGGACUGAGACACGGCCCAGACUCCUACGGGAGGCAGCAGUAGGGAAUCUUCGGCAAUGGACGAAAGUCUGACCGAGCAACGCCGCGUGAGUGAAGAAGGUUUUCGGAUCGUAAAGCUCUGUUGUAAGAGAAGAACGGGUGUGAGAGUGGAAAGUUCACACUGUGACGGCAUCUUACCAGAAAGGGACGGCUAACUACGUG
rnacentral:rRNA from 1 species